CUUGCAAUUUUUUUAUUUCAUCUGUGUCUUGGAGAUAAUACCAACUGUAACAUAUGCCGGUGUUUAUAAGCUUCCACGGUAAAACAAAAGGCAAAGCAAAUAUUUUAGCAGCUUUGCGAAGACCACCGAAAAAUCCUCGUUUUACUCUGGGCAAAGAUGGUGAUAUGGCAACAAUUGCAAUCGGUGAUUCUGUAUUAGAAUUCCUCUUUCGUCGUCUUUUUCU